rnacentral:rRNA from 1 species
AUCGGGUACGGGGACCGUGUCAGGCGGGCAGUUUGACUGGGGCGGUCGCCUCCUAAAGAGUAACGGAGGCGUUCAAAGGUUCCCUCAGAAUGGUUGGAAAUCAUUCGCAGAGUGCAAAGGCAUAAGGGAGCUUGACUGCGAGACCUACAAGUCGAGCAGGGACGAAAGUCGGACUUAGUGAUCCGGUGGUACCGCAUGGAAGGGCCAUCGCUCAACGGAUAAAAGCUACCCUGGGGAUAACAGGCUUAUCUCCCCCAAGAGUCCACAUCGACGGGGAGGUUUGGCACCUCGAUGUCGGCUCAUCGCAUCCUGGGGCUGAAGUAGGUCCCAAGGGUUGGGCUGUUCGCCCAUUAAAGCGGUACGCGAGCUGGGUUCAGAACGUCGUGAGACAGUUCGGUCCCUAUCUGUCGUGGGCGCAGGAAAUUUGAGAGGAGCUGUCCUUAGUACGAGAGGACCGGGAUGGACGUACCGCUGGUGCAUCAGUUGUUCCGCCAGGAGCAUGGCUGAGUAGCUACGUACGGACGGGAUAAGCGCUGAAAGCAUCUAAGCGUGAAGCCCCCCUCAAGAUGAGAUUUCCCAGUAUGUAAGACCCCUUGAAGACGACGAGGUAGAUAGGUUGGAGGUGGAAGUGCAGCAAUGCAUGGAGCUGACCAAUACUAAUCGGUCGAGGGCUUAUCCAA